rnacentral:lncRNA from 1 species
CAGAAUUCAUAGGACACCGAAUUACAGAAGAAAAUGGCGUAAAUGACCUGCUUUUGAUAAACCAUCACCAGUAGAAUUAGUAUAAACAGACGAAGCAAUGAAUUUUGGAACGAAAUUACUUAAAGAACCAUUAGUUUUUGGUAUCUCUGUAUCAUUUCUGUUGUAUGAAUACUUCAGAUAUAAAAGCGAACAGAUCCAGGAUGAAAAAAGAAAGACGGAAAUAGCAACGCUUCAAAAAACAAUACAUGAAUGUGGAUUAGUAACAGAACAAAAUGAAGUCGAAAUCAAAAGUCUAAAAAGAAAAAUGAUUCAAUUUGAGGACAGAAAUUGGACUUAAGCAAAUACAUUUUCUAUCUUAUUAUAAGAAUGAUCGAUGCAAUAUACUUGUUUUAUAUAUUUGGAGCCAGUCUUCUACUUGAUUGAUACUGUGUGUUUGAAUGUCAUGGAAACAAAUAUUGAUAACACACAACUUCAGAGAGAUUAUACCUCAAAUAUUUCCUUUAUAUGUUCAAGGAACGAUCGUCUGGGUGGUCAAGUCAUGAUUGAAAAUAUCAUUAUAAGACUUUAACAAUUUCGGAAUAUUACAUUUUUUUCAUAUUUAAGUAAAUUCAUAUUUCUCAUAGACAAGCUUUUUUUUAUCUAAAGUUUUUCCACAAUAGAUUAGAAAAGAGUCUUAUAAUAUCAAAACCAAUACC